rnacentral:rRNA from 1 species
UGAGUACGAGCUGCUACGGCAGCGAAGUGGGUGAUGUCAUGCUUCCAAGAAAAGCCCUGUACCCGUUAAGGCAUGAUGGCCUGUACCCGAAACCGACACAGGUGGGGUGGUAGAGAAUACCGAGGGGCGCGAGGUAACUCUAUCUAAGGAACUCGGCAAAAUGGCCCCGUAACUUCGGGAGAAGGGGUGCCACCGCAAGGUGGUCGCAGUGAAGAGGCCCAGGCGACUGGUUACCAAAAACACAGGUCUCCGCUAAGUCGCAAGACGAUGUAUGGGGGCUGACGCCUGCCCAGUGCCGGAAGGUUAAGGAAGCUGGUCAGCGUAAGCGAAGCUAGCGACUGAAGCCCCGGUGAACGGCGGCCGUAACUAUAACGGUCCUAAGGUAGCGAAAUUCCUUGUCGGGUAAGUUCCGACCCGCACGAAAGGCGUAACGAUCUGGGCGCUGUCUCGGAGAGAGGCUCGGCGAAAUAGAAUUGUCUGUGAAGAUGCGGACUACGUGCACCCGGACAGAAAGACCCUAUGAAGCUUUACUGUAGCUUGGUAUUGUGCUCGGGCUCGGAAUGCGCAGGAUAGGUGGGAGGCUAUGAACCAUUGCUUGCGGGUGAUGGUGAGCCACUGGUGAGAUACCACUCUUUCCGAGCUAGAGUUCUAACAGCCACCCGUUAUCCGGGGGCUGGACAGUAUCAGGUGGGCAGUUUGACUGGGGCGGUCGCCUCCUAAAAGGUAACGGAGGCGCGCAAAGGUUUGCUCAGGCUGGUUGGAAAUCAGCCGACGAGUGUAAAAGCAGAAGCAAGCUUGACUGUGAGACCUACAAGUCGAACAGGGAGGAAACUCGGCUUUAGUGAUCCGACGGUUCUGCGUGGAAGGGCCGUCGCUCAACGGAUAAAAGUUACUCUAAGGAUAACAGGCUGAUCUCCCCCAAGAGUUCACAUCGGCGGGGAGGUUUGGCACCUCGAUGUCGGCUCAUCGCAACCUGGGGCUGAAGUCGGUCCCAAGGGUUGGGCUGUUCGCCCAUUAAAGCGGUACGCGAGCUGGGUUCAGAACGUCGUGAGACAGUUCGGUCCAUAUCCGGUGCAUGCGCAGGAAUAUUGAGAGGAUUUCUCCCUAGUACGAGAGGACCGGGAGGAACGCACCUCUGGUGUACCAGUUAUCGUGCCAACGGUAAACGCUGGGUAGCCAUGUGCGGAGAGGAUAACCGCUGAAAGCAUCUAAGUGGGAAGCCCACCUCAAGAUGUGUAUUCCCAUGGGGUAACCCAGUAAGGUCACGGGAAGAACACCCGUUGAUAGGCUCUACGUGGAAGCGCAGUAAUGUGUGAAGCGGAGGAGUACUAAUAGACCGAGGGCUUGACCGU